CCCGGAAGAGGGGAAGGCUGUGGGAGGGAAAGCAGGAAGCUCUGCUGGACUGUGGAUUCUGGGAGGGGCCUGGGAACCUGAAUUUUUAAUGAGCUGAUCCCCCUCCCCCCACCCCAGAGAUUCUGGUGAAGCCUCAGCUCUCAAAUUUCAACUGUGGACUUGGAAUUCUAUGUGUGUAAAAAACAUAGCCUGGGGGUUCCAGUUGCCAAGUAAGGGGUAGAAUAUAAAAAUUUAAACAUAGAAAACCCCUUGUCAUUUCACUCAUUGCAACUGCCUUUUCCCAUGACACAGGAAAGAGAAGACUCUGGAAUCCCCUCCCUCAGCAAGGAAGUGGGUGCUCUUUCCCGGGAGUCCGGCAAGGGCCUCUUCUCUUUCACACUCUGAGAUUCCAAGGGUAGCAGCCCUCUUUGAGGUGCCUACAGCCUGCCUGGGCACGGAGGAACUGGCAGACAAGAGGCCAACACCCGCAAACUACCAAUGAUUCCAAGGGUCUGAUGCAAGACCUCAGCCACCCUGGAGAUGACUCAGUAGUCAAGGUGAGCUGAAGGGUGGCCUCUCCUCCAAAGGUUUCUCCAGAAACUUGCAGAAGCUUCUUUUCGUCCCUAGGCUUUUGAAGUUCGGCAGCAAUGUACUUUCAUGUGGGUGUUUUCAACCACUGUGGUGUUCCUGCAGCUGCAAGUUCCUGAGGCUUUGAGGGCUCAGAGGUGUGAAUAGACUUGGAUCUCUUCUAGAGAAUCAAAUAGCCUAAGGUCCUGUCUAACUGAGCCCUCUCUGUCAGGUGUCACUCAUCCCUCUGUUCCCAGCUUCCAGUAUUGUGUUGCUGUCAUCUUCUCCUGAUAUCUUUCUUAUCCAGUUGAUGUCUUUUAAAAAAUGAUGUGCUGUCCAGAUGCAGUGGUUCAUGCCUGUAA